UGGGGAAUAUUGGACAAUGGAGGAAACUCUGAUCCAGCAAUUCUGUGUGUGUGAAGAAGGUUUUAGGACUGUAAAACACUUUUAGUAGGGAAGAAAAAAAUGACGGUACCUACAGAAGAAGCAACGGCUAAAUACGUGCCAGCAGCCGCGGUAAUACGUAUGUUGCGAGCGUUAUCCGGAAUUAUUGGGCUCAAAGGGCAUCUAGGCGGUAAGACGAGUUGAAGGUGAAAACCUGUGGCUCAACCAUAGGCUUGCCUACAAAACUGUUGAACUAGAGUACUGGAAAGGUGGGUGGAACUACACGAGGAGAGGUGAAAUUCGUAGAUAUGUGUAGGAAUGCCGAUGAUGAAGAUAACUCACUGGACAGAAACUGACGCUGAAGUGCGAAAGCUAGGGGAGCAAACAGG
rnacentral:rRNA from 1 species